rnacentral:rRNA from 1 species
AAAUCCGCUUUGAUAAUGCUGGGAUGUGAUGGGGAGCGAAAUUUAGUAGCGAAGUAGCUGAUUUCACACUGUCAAGAAAAGUCUCUAUCGAGGUUAAAGGUACCCGUACCGCAAACCGACACAGGUGGGUGAGGAGAGUAUCCUAAGGCCAGCGAGAGAACUGUUGUUAAGGAACUCGGCAAAAUGACCCCGUAACUUAGGGAUAAGGGGUGCCACCAUCAGGUGGCCGCAGAGAAUAGGCCCAAGCGACUGUUUACCAAAAACAUAGGUUUCUGCUAAGUCGCAAGACGAUGUAUAGGAGCUGACGCCUGCCCGGUGCUGGAAGGUUAAGGGGAUCUGUUAGAGCAAUCGAAGCAGUGAACUUAAGCCCCAGUAAACGGCGGCCGUAACUAUAACGGUCCUAAGGUAGCGAAAUUCCUUGUCGGGUAAGUUCCGACCCGCACGAAAGGCGUAACGAUUUGGGCACUGUCUCAACAACAGACUCGGUGAAAUUGUAAUUCCGGUGAAGAUGCCGGAUACCUGCGACAGGACGGAAAGACCCCAUGGAGCUUUACUGUAGCUUGACAUUGGGUCUUGGUACUACAUGUACAGGAUAGGUGGGAGGCUUUGAAACCAGGACGCCAGUUUUGGCGGAGCCAUCCUUGGGAUACCACCCUUGUAGUACUGGGACUCUAACCAUAGGCCAUGAAUCUGGUCUUGGGACACUGUCAGGUGGGCAGUUUGACUGGGGCGGUCGCCUCCCAAAAGG